AAUGAACGUUGGCGGCGUGGAUUAGGCAUGCAAGUCGCGCGACAAGGAACCUUCGGGUUCUGGAGGAGCGGCAAACGGGGUAGUAAGGCAUCGGAACGUACCCUCUUGUUGGGAAUAGCCGCGGGAAACUGCGAGUAAUGCCCAAUAAUCCCUACGGGGCAAAGGUCCGCCGCAGGAGGAGCGGCCGAUGUGAUACCAGCUAGUUGGUGAGGUAAUGGCUCACCAAGGCUUAGACGUCUAGGGGGUGUGAGAGCAUGGCCCCCACCACUGGGACUGAGAUACUGCCCACGACACCUACGGGUGGCUGCGAGUCGAGAAUCUUC
rnacentral:rRNA from 1 species